GAUGAACGCUGGCGGCGUGCCUAAUACAUGCAAGUCGAGCGAACAGACGAGGAGCUUGCUCCUCUGACGUUAGCGGCGGACGGGGGAGUAACACGUGGAUAACCUACCUAUAAGACUGGGAUAACUUCGGGAAACCGGAGCUAAUACCGGAUAAUAUAUUGAACCGCAUGGUUCAAUAGUGAAAGACGGUUUUGCUGUCACUUAUAGAUGGAUCCGCGCCGCAUUAGCUAGUUGGUAAGGUAACGGCUUACCAAGGCAACGAUGCGUAGCCGACCUGAGAGGGUGAUCGGCCACACUGGAACUGAGACACGGUCCAGACACCUACGGGAGGCAGCAGUAGGGAAUCUUCCGCAAUGGGCGAAAGCCUGACGGAGCAACGCCGCGUGAGUGAUGAAGGUCUUCGGAUCGUAAAACUCUGUUAUUAGGGAAGAACAAAUGUGUAAGUAACUAUGCACGUCUUGACGGUACCUAAUCAGAAAGCCACGGCUAACUACGUG
rnacentral:rRNA from 1 species